CCCGUCCUCUUGAUUCAACGCAGUUCUUCCUCUCUAUUUAUAUCAAGCCCUAAACGAUUCUCUUAUUUUCUCGGUAGAUUUCGGAUUCUGAGAAGGGAAGGGAAGAAAUGGAAUCUCUGCUAUCUGAAGGUUUUGCCCUCCAUACGCGGUGUUCUGCAGCAGCUAUCCUACGGCCGGCGACGCGGGUCACAUUCUUCGGGGGAUCAUUCGCGCCGCUUUCUCGCCCCCUGAUGCGUCGGCGAUCCAUACACCUGUCUCCGGCGACUACCGGCAGGAUAUCCGCCUUGGCGAGGAACGGGUCUUUGAUUUCGAAAUCGAUGCAGUCAAACCACGGAGUUUAUUCAAUUGGCGAUUUUAUGACAAAAAAAGGAAGAUCUCAUCAUCAUCAAGCCAUCUACUUCAGUUGAUGAAGCACUCGAAAAGCUAUUGGAGCAUAGGAUCACUGGUUUUCCUAUGAUUGAUGAUGAUUGGGCAUUGGUAC